UACGGGGGGGGUAAGCGUUGUUCGGAAUUACUGGGCGUAAAGGGCUCGUAGGCGGCCAACUAAGUCAUACGUGAAAUCCUCCAGCUCAACUGGAGAAGUGCCUCGGAUACUGGUUGUCUUGAGGAGGGUAGGGGCAUCUGGAACUAGCGGUGGAGCGGUGAAAUGCGUUGAUAUCGCUAGGAACUCCGGUGGCGAAGGCGAGGUGCUGGACCCUUUCUGACGCUGAGGCGCGAAAGCCAGGGGAGCGAACGGG
rnacentral:rRNA from 1 species